rnacentral:lncRNA from 1 species
AAAAAUGCAAGGGUAUCAUCGCUGCAGUAAAAGGAGUCAGGCUCUGAGGUCGGAGAGCCUGGUGUGACUUGAGACAGCUUCAGCAGCAGUUCUGGGCCCCAGGACUCUCAGCUCCUCCUCAAGGUUAAUAAUUCCUGCCUCAGAGGACUAAAAGGAACAAAAGUGUAGCAUCGCAGGUGCCAUUCCAGCAAUGGUGAUGAUAAUGACAGCCCUACCAUUACUGAAGCAAACCUGCCACCCUCUCCUAACUGGCAUUCGCAUUCACUUACU